GAUAAGUCUAUCUAUCGCUGUAUUAGGCUGCUAUUUUUUUCUUUUUUUGCUUCAUUCGGCUUCACUUGUCUCCAUUACUCCACCUGGAGUUGCUUCACCAUUACUCCAUCUGAUUUUGACAUCAUGUUCCUUUGUAAUAGUUGACUUAGCUUUAACCCCUUUGAUGCUUCCUUUGAUAGUGAAAGUUUUGGAUACAAUAUUCUGAUAAAUAAUGCAUCCUCCGGUCAUUAUCUUCAACCAUCCCACUGGUCUAUGAUUUCCAACGCCAUUAGCUUCCUUAAUCUCAGAAUCCACGGUUCUUACGGUGAAUCAUGUAUCACCAUCACGUUCUGAAGCAAACCCAAACAACCUUAAACCCGAGAUGCCCGGCGAAUCCAUGUAUGUGCCUUCGGUGAAGCUUGUCUUCUUCUGCUCCAAAUUCAAUCACUCUCCAGAGAUUCAGACCAUGCCCCUCCUUUGCUUUUCCUGGUAUCAAACUCGCCAUUGAUACCACCAGUACUCUUAAAGUAUGAUUCCCAGCUUCUAUACAACUCUUUGCUGUAAUACCAUAGCUUAAUCAUCUUCUACGAUAAUUUAAUAUGUCAAGGUCCUUUGA